GGCGUCGGUUUUCAAGAUGGAGGACCUUUAGCAGUCGUCCCGUUUUACUUCCAAAACGGACGCUUCACUGGCAACAUGUGUGGGGUGCCUG
rfam:Drosophila yakuba strain Tai18E2 chromosome 3R v2_Cont0.22, whole genome shotgun sequence.